GAAAAAUAGGACCUCUUGGGCUUCUUGCCCUGUCCUACCUGCUCCAGAAAGAAGACCAAGCUGGGCUGCGGGGCAGGGGACAGGUUCUUUCCCUGGAUGCCUCUAGCAUAGGGACCUCUGAGCAUCAGAGAUCAGUGUCUUUUAUCUCCCGGGUACUUGUUUGUUUGGAAAAGGGCUUGUAGCUCUCCAGACUAAAAAAGGACAGUGUAGGGAGAGAGGAUUCUUGUUUGGGACCCCAGUGACUGCCCCAGGCCUGCCUGGCAGUAUUGGGAAGAGCUAUUUACCCUCUCCCCAUCUUUGUCCUGCAUUUUGGGGAAAGCACAGGUACUUUAGAAGCAGGAAUGGUGAGAAUGUUCCCCCAGAGAUGCAGAACUAUCCCCCAGGCAGGCCAGUCUCUGAUGCAUCAGUGCUACUCUGGGAGCCAUGAGGUGAAGUUGAGCCUGGGGUCAGAGUCUGGAGAUGGUGAAGAGGGACCGGAAGAAGAGGGUUCCGGGGAGCUGAACCCUGCUGGCUUGGAAGCUCUGAGAUGGAAAGGGGUCUGCUCUCUCCUCUUACUUCCUGCUCUUAGGAUUCCACCUCACCUCUCACCCACACCCCAUUCCUGCCAUAACCCCCAAAGCCAUGACCCAGAGCCUCAGGUGAGCCAUAUCCAGAGAAGGCCCCUCCACAUCAGGGAAUGGGGACUCUGUGGUCCUCAUCCUCCAGAGGAGCUCUCACCCCCUACUCUUCCUCCCUCAUUCUUCCAGUCUGUUCAUCUCUCCACACCUGAUACUGGUCUGCAAGACAGGAUCGCAAGGACAACCCUGCUCCUCCCAUCUCCCGGUCCCUCAGGAACAGCAGAAUUCAGGAUUAUUGUGAGGUUGCCAGGAAGACUCCCAUCCUAUUCUGAGCCCAGAAGCCGAGAGGAAGAACAGACAGAAGGAGGAGAGAGAUGGGCCAGUAGGAGUGGCAGGAAAUACACCUCUUCCCCAGUAGCCCAGGGGACUAUGAAGAGGCAGAAUCCUUGUCUUCUGCCGCCGCCGCCUCCUCUUCCUCCGCCUCUACGCAUUUGUUUUUCUUGAUUCGGUGCCUUGGGCUUCCGGAGGCCAGGCCGCUGGGGACGAGGCAGCCUGGGGUGUCUUUGCAGAGGCAAGUGAGAUGGACUGAUGGCACCUGGACCCCAGACAGCUCCACCACUGCCCGGCAGUGUGUUCUUGGCUGAUGGGUUCCCAGGCAUUAGAAGCUUCUCCAGUCCUCACCACAUCUUGGUUUUACCGAAGAGGAAACUGAGGUUAAGACUGUGUCUUGCUGGUCAACUGCACAGGUGGGAUUCGAACCUGCCUCCGAUUAGGAGGCGCUCCUAAAUUUGAGCCAGGCAGCCUCCCUUGGACUGGCAAAUCGAGCCCUCACAGGGCGGGCCACCACCUUCGCGAGGAGGGGUUGGGCUGAAUCGCUAAGCAUUCUUUUUUUGUGUGCCGGAAAGGCUUUGAAAUUUUUUCAGGUAAACGAUUUGGCCGCUCCCCGGGAAGGAUGGAAAGGACACCCAGGGUGGGGGACCUCCAGCUUGUUGAGGGAGAGCCCCCUAAGAGCGGGACAGGGAGGGCAGCUCUUCUUCGAAGCAAAGCCCAGGUUGAAGCCUUCGCACCUGGAUUUUUCGAGUUUAUCCAUCUGCUCAGUCUGUCCUGUGUAGCCCACGUCUUCAGAAGACCAGGUCUUGGGGGGCGGAGGAUAAGGCACAAGGCCCACACCAGGGUACAGGUGUGGCCAGACGCCCGACUCUUUCACCCCCUACAGGGGCACCUCUCUGAGGGAAGGUCCUCCUAGCGGCAGAGAAAUUGGCUGGGGGGGAGUGGAGGGAGGCGGACGGGGACUGCUGGCUGGGCAAGGAAGGCUGGAAUCCAGGCUCCCCAGCCACCCCAUCCCAAGCUCCCGCUGCAAGGUCGCGGCAUGGCAGCCCCGACAGGCCACGCGUCCCUCGACACAAGUCCCAUUACAUUGUAUUUAUGUUUCACUUUAUUGUUUUUUUUUUUCCUCCUCUCUUAUUAUUGUCUCACUCUGGGGGAGGCAAAAGAUAUAAUAUAUUCAUCUUUAUUAUACCAAAUCUGUGUGAAGCAUUUAAUAAAACGCUGUUUCCACACAGCCAGGGAUUAGUGUGAGCUAUUCUUAAGUUAAUGCUCGUGUACGGAGGGCGCCUCCGCCGCAACGCCUGCUGCUGGCGGCCG
ensembl:lncRNA